CACACUCUGACUUUGCUUCUUGAAAAGCAAUGAUACUCAUGUGCUGCAUCAUGAUGUCUUGGUCAGCGAGGGACCGCAUGUACGAUGCUGGUCCCGUAAGAUCAGCACCGUGGAGCCUGGCCGAGCAGCAGGCUAGACAGCCUAGGAUUGCGUGAGCACAAGGACGGCAUCACCGAACGACACAUUUCUCAGAGCGUGUCCCGUGGCUCAGUGACACUGACUGGACACAUGAAUACGGUAGAGACGGUUCAUUGAACCCUUCACAGUGGGCUAACAGAUAUAAACGUGGAGUGAUGCCCUUUUAUCUUUUAAAGUUCUAUUUUACUUGGUUAUUUAUAAGACAAGAUACUUUCAUUUUAAUUAUAAUUGCUUUAUGGAUUAAUUAUCACAGUGAUUAUAUGAAUAUUUAAUACAACUUUAUGGUGUUUACCCACAGUAUCUUGAAAAUUAGCUCUUGUGUAUCAACAGGCCGGUGUGAAUAAUUCAUAUUCAUAAAUGCAGCUUGACUUUCAUUAGCAACGACUCCUGGAAGAUAUGUGAGCAUAUUACUGAAAAUGUGAGCUCUGGGAGUGAGUCGAAGUAAUUCUUUAUUUAUACAAACACCACAGCAGCUUAAAUGUCGGAAAAUUUCUUGGAUAAAAUCUCUUUCUUUGUAAUGUUGUUUUUCAGCAUUUCAGCAAUGCCUUCAAGAAAUCGUUGUUUCUAUUUCUCAUCUCCUAAUAAGGUCCUGCUCUCUGACUUCAUAUGCACCAGUUCUCUGUGCUCGUCAGACACAGAUUUCGGUGUGAUCAGAUGCCCCUGUGCAUUGGGGUUUGAACGACUUGAUUUCAGUGUUGAUUCUCCAUUAACGUUUUCGCCUCUGUCUCGUGACGAUUUCCACGGUGGACGCAGAGUCGAGCUGCGUGUGGUUCAUCUGUGACGUUCGUCCUGCGUGAUGGUGGAGACACCCAGAAUUCUCCAUCCUGUGCUCAUGACCCUCUGAAACACUGGUGCUGACCAGCCUCUGGGAGUGGCUGCCCCCUCAGGAGCAGUCAGCACCAUCGCUGCUUUGGGCCCACAGGCAACACCGCUUCUGUGGUUGCUGCCGGUUUGCGCUGCUGUGUGGGGCCCGCUCCAGGCUGACCCAUGUCACCCGCACCUCACCUCUGCUUGGGUGUCCACAGCCUGCGGCAAAGAGGCACUGCUGGACGAGAGGCCCUCCUCGGUUCAGAUUCCUUGUUAGUAGCUGAUUUAUUUAACCGCUGCUCACUUACUACCCCAGUUCCACCAGGGCAGACAUCCAUGUUGUUCACCUCUGCAGGCUGGUGUGUAACACGGGGCCUGGAAUACAGGAGGAGCUCAACCGACGUUCAGUGGCUUGGUUCAGCUUGGGGAGAACACUGACUGUUGGCCCGUUCCUACCCUCCUCACAGACCCUUCGCCCUGUGCACACACCGUGCGCUGGAAGCAGCAGGCCCCCAGGUCUGAGGCACCAGUUUUCCAGGGAGAUAGAUACAGCUACCUUCAGGUCAGCCCUUUGAAAGUCACGCUGACUCAGGUCACGACUCUGGCAUCUCCCUCCCAACAUGGUCCUCCCAUGGGGGCUCCCCCACGGUCACAGUGACUCAAGCAACGACCUCACAAACACAACCUGUGGACCAUACUGUCUCCAGAUUGGGAUUUCAGACCAAAGUCUUCGAGGAAGGAUCAGGGACUUACACAUAUUCACAAUUUUUUCUGAAGAAAAUUGAGGGACUAAAUGAGAUGAUGGGUAUAAAGCGCCUGGACCCACACUAUGUGCUCAACAGUUCUCACUAUUUCAGGUCAAUUUAGAGAUUUCUUUGCAAAGAGUUAUAAUUCCAAUCUUCGUUCUGCUCCACGUGGUCAAGUGUCCCCACGGUUCCAUCUAACCACCCCAGGUCAGCGGCGGACCUGGAGCCAUGUCUGACUGCUCAGUGGACACGUUGCUAAAGGAAAUUAAAGACAGUGCAUUUCGUGACCCAAUCAGAGAAGUCAUCGUUAAUGGCGCCAGAGAGAAGCCGGGGUGUCUGGCUCUGUGGUUCACCUUUAGACUGCACCCACCUCGGCGAUGACAAUACGCAGCGUGGCAACUCCACCGUCCUUUGUUAGCCCGGCCUUGUGGAACCUGAGUUACCCAUGGCUGCAGGAGAUGCUGCGAGACUCAUGAGAAACUCACAUGUGAUAAAGACAAAGAACCCAGGGACAAAUCACGUCCCACUUUUAAAAGUUUCAUUUCUACUGAUAGAACUAUCCAGAAUCUUAAGGCUGAAACGAAAUCAUGCGUUUUGCUCAGUCCAUUUGGGCUGCUAUCAGGAAAUCCCACAGACUGGGUGGUUUAUAAAUAACAGAAAGGUAUUGCUCACAGUCUGGAGGCUGGAGGUCUGACUUCAGGAUGCCAGCACGACUGAGCCAGGGCCCUCUUGCAGGUCACAGACUUCUCUCUGUAUCCUCACCUGGCGGAGGGGCCAGGGAGCUCUGGGGGGUCUCCGUUACAAAGGCAGUAAUGCCAUCAUCAGAGGGCCCCAUCCUCAUGACCUGCGCUCUCCCAGGUCCCACCUCCUAAUGCCAUCACCUUAGUCACUGGGAUUUCAACAUGCGAAUCUGGGGGAACACAACUGUUCAGACCACAGUAUGCUUCAAGGAUGGACUUUGAUAAUGGAGAAAAAGUAGCAACAAACAAAUGAAAACUCACUCAAAACACCCAAAUUCGUUUUAUUCAGGGGGUCGCUAUAGUUUAGGUCCACUUAAAAUUUAUCUAACAAAUUACUUGCAUGGCUCCUCUUUCCUCAAAAAAAAAAAGAGAGAGAGAAGAAAUUUGCUAUCCUUAAUUCCUAAUGAACAUGGUAAACUGUGUUCCCUUGCCUGGAUGGUAUGAUCAGAGGCACGAAACUUUCUCCAGGAGCCCAUCCUGAGCUUAGGGUGAAAUGAAUGACAGAUGAAGACUUUGGAAUCCACCUAGUUGUCUAUAUUUUUGUAAAUGGAAAGAUCUGAUUGUCCAUUCACUUAUUUCUUCAAUUAAACAAGAUUUGUCCAAAAAUAUCUUCUAUAUGAAGAAACUAAAACACUGGGGCUUUUUCCUAAUUUAAAAAGUAAUAGAUAUUGACUUCUGUCACCAGCUAUGGUGAAGUACUUGGGCCGAGCUUAAUUUUCAGAUAUAAACAACUAGAAAAGUAGGCAGAAUAUGGAAACGACUGUUUUCAGAUACUGGAAAGCAGGCAGCACAGAGGGCUGUGAUCCUUGAUAAAAAGAGGAACAGACACGAUGAUUCCUGCAACUGUCCAGCGUGCGUGUGAGGGCGUAAUGCCUAUGGAAGGCUUCGAAGGCAGUACUUCCUGAGUAGUUUUUUGCAGGCUUAAAACUGUUUUCUCUAAGACCUUGAUGCUUGGAAUGUGGCUUGACUGGUUCUAGAAGCCCAGGUUGGGUCUCCAUUGCUGGAGUCUCUCGGAACACUUGCCCACUGUGCCCUGUGCCCUCCCUUUGUGUGUUCUUGAGAAGAGUGAGGUCAGCAUCAUUCUUUCGGCCAUAGAAGUUAUUAGAUAUUUUUUCCCUCAAGCCCUUAGGAUUUUUUUACUUGUUUUAAAGGUUAAUCCUUUUACCAGGCUGUGUCUCAGAGUUAACUCUCCAGGCUGUUUUCCACAGGCACCUUCCAGCAGGUCCUUCUGAUGUGAAGUUCACUUCUGUCAUUUAUGGGAAAGUGUUUAAUUACAGCUUCAUUAGGUUUGGCCCGUUGCUUUGUUUGGGACUCUGGUUAUAUGUGUGUUGGUUCUUCAUUAUCUCCCUUCCAUUUCACCACUUUCACUCUGAUCUUUAUUUAUCUAAAUUUUAAUUUAAUUUUUGGGGUUGUUCUCUUGUCUUUCUUCAAUGACUUGAUUUUUCACUUAAUUCAAUUGUUCCUGCUUUCGUCCAUUUUUAUAUAUUGAGUAAAAGUUGCUCUUUUCUUACAACCAAAUGCUGCUGAGGAUAUUUAACUAAACGGAUGGCACUGUGCUCACUUUCCUUCUGCUUCGUGAUUUUUUUGGCAGUGCAUGUUCAUCAACUGAAAUCUCUUGAUUCUCAUUUUGCAUUUUCUUCUAAUCAUAGCUUUUUCUAACUCCCAGCUGCCUUUGUUUAUUCGUUUCCUCACUACAGAUGGCAGUCAGUGGUGGUUGGUAAGAUUCCUUGUUCACGAGCUCUCCCUUCUGUCAGUACAGCAAAACUGGCUUUCUGGUGGUUGUCCUGGGGAAGUGGUUCUGUGCCUCCAAUUCCAGUUUCCUCUUUGGUCUUUCAAGACCUUGAUUUUCCCUCUUUUCUCCUCCAUAUCCCUUGACCAUCCUUUCUGACUCACCGGCUCCUUCCUCGGAAGCUCAGCCUGUCCGGAACUGCUGCCUGAGUCCAGACCUACUCAGGUCCCCUCCCGUCUUGGCCUCAGUCCACCCAGGUGCUCCCAGGGGUACCCUCCCGCAAGUGAUGCUGGCUGAAUGGCAGGCUGUCCACUGGUCUCCACUCUCUCCCUGCACGUUUUCCUGGUAUUUUCUCAUCUCCACCAAGGUCUUCAGGGGAAUGCAUCAAUCACUCAGUUGGAAUAUAUCGUUUAUCUUUCUACUUCCAGGUAUGCCAUAGCAGAAAAAAGUGACGAACUCCACCAUCUCUCUCUUAUUUUGAAGCAUCAUUUUUUAUUAGAACACUGCCAUACCAUGGCUUGAUGAGCCAGGUGUAGGUGCACGCCCAGGAUCUGAACUCAUGAACCCAGGGCGACCAGAAGCAGAGCACGGGAACUUAACCACUAUGCCACCGGGCUAGCCCCGUCCUUCUUUUUCUAAAUUAUCUAUAUGAAGCGGCUCACGGUUGAUGGACAUUUAGCUCCUUACUAAAAGCUUUUGGAUGAUGCCACUACCACAAUAUUCAUCAAUAAAA
ensembl:lncRNA